AUACAUGCAAGUCGAGCGGACCGACGGGAGCUUGCUCCCUUAGGUCAGCGGCGGACGGGUGAGUAACACGUGGGUAACCUGCCUGUAAGACUGGGAUAACUCCGGGAAACCGGGGCUAAUACCGGAUGCUUGAUUGAACCGCAUGGUUCAAUCAUAAAAGGUGGCUUUUAGCUACCACUUGCGGAUGGACCCGCGGCGCAUUAGCUAGUUGGUGAGGUAACGGCUCACCAAGGCGACGAUGCGUAGCCGACCUGAGAGGGUGAUCGGCCACACUGGGACUGAGACACGGCCCAGACUCCUACGGGAGGCAGCAGUAGGGAAUCUUCCGCAAUGGACGAAAGUCUGACGGAGCAACGCCGCGUGAGUGAUGAAGGUUUUCGGAUCGUAAAACUCUGUUGUUAGGGAAGAAUAAGUACCGUUCGAAUAGGGCGGUACCUUGACGGUACCUAACCAGAAAGCCACGGCUAACUACGUGCCAGCAGCCGCGGUAAUACGUAGGUGGCAAGCGUUGUCCGGAAUUAUUGGGCGUAAAGCGCGCGCAGGCGGUUUCUUAAGUCUGAUGUGAAAGCCCCCGGCUCAACCGGGGAGGGUCAUUGGAAACUGGGGAACUUGAGUGCAGAAGAGGGGAGUGGAAUUCCACGUGUAGCGGUGAAAUGCGUAGAGAUGUGGAGGAACACCAGUGGCGAAGGCGACUCUCUGGUCUGUAACUGACGCUGA
rnacentral:rRNA from 1 species